UGUCUUCUGAAGACCCCCUGUAGUGAGGUAGAGUAAACCAGAGGGUGAGGGACCUCUCUCUGAGCCCAGAUGAGUGGACAAAGCAGUACCAGCUCCUCCCAUGGGAAAUCAGGAGGCAGGACAGAAAGUAUAAAGGGCAGGUCCUGGGAUUCAGUUGGGCUGCAGCUGCCAGAACAGACAAGCACCUUCUGCCUGCUCCCAAGCUGGGAGACCAUAGAGGAGCCCUACCGUGCUCAGAACUGGCCAGAGCUGCCAGCUGAUCUGAGGCACUGAGUCUCUGGGACUGCUGCUGGCCCCCUAUCCUGAGGAGAUGGAGGACCCCCACUGAUCCAGAUUGGCUGAGAGGUAGGCCAGUCCCCCGUUCCAGUUUAUGCCUGGCUGUGCAAAGACCCAAUCAGAUGCUCCAGUAGCCUGAGGUCAGGUAGGUGCAGCGUUGCCUUGACCACUCUGCCUUUAAUCCAAUUUGGAUUACAACAGCCCUUUGACACUGAAGGACUUCUAUCAAGAAGAGGGAAUCCUCAAGAUGCAGAAUCCACUGUAUUUAGUCUGCUUUGUACUGCCAGUGCAACACUAAGGAGAGGGUUUUGAAGGCACCCAUUGGAGCUAUGGAGAUUCUGAAGCAGUUGAGACAUUCAGGACUGUAACAAAGUUGUGCAACACAUAUGGUUCCGAUGAUGACUCCAGUGUCUACUGCUGCACAUGGCCUCUUCAUAGAUGUUGUUGGCCUCCAUGACUCUCAAGAGAUCUGUGAGUUUUGGGGGAUUGAGCCCCUGGCCUGUUCCACUGGGGGGCAAAUCCAUGGCAGCAAUCCCUAGGGAUAUGAUCAGGUAAAGAUCUGGCAAAUCCAUGCUCAUAGUGUACGGGACUUGACACUGGAAAUAACUCCUGUAUGGGGAUGAUCUAGGCCAGGCUUUCUCAAACUGAGGGCUGGCCCCAUUAGUGGAAUCUGGACAAUGCCUGUAAAGGGCCUGAAACGUUUCUCUCUCUUUUUUUUUAUUUACAAGCUUGAAAUUAAGAAAACGUG